UAGAGCUUGAUCAUGGCUCAGAUUGAACGCUGGCGGCAGGCUUAACACAUGCAAGUCGAGCGGAGAUGAGGUGCUUGCACCUUAUCUUAGCGGCGGACGGGUGAGUAAUGCUUAGGAAUCUGCCUAUUAGUGGGGGACAACAUUCCGAAAGGAAUGCUAAUACCGCAUACGCCCUACGGGGGAAAGCAGGGGAUCUUCGGACCUUGCGCUAAUAGAUGAGCCUAAGUCGGAUUAGCUAGUUGGUGGGGUAAAGGCCUACCAAGGCGACGAUCUGUAGCGGGUCUGAGAGGAUGAUCCGCCACACUGGGACUGAGACACGGCCCAGACUCCUACGGGAGGCAGCAGUGGGGAAUAUUGGACAAUGGGCGGAAGCCUGAUCCAGCCAUGCCGCGUGUGUGAAGAAGGCCUUUUGGUUGUAAAGCACUUUAAGCGAGGAGGAGGCUACUUAGAUUAAUACUCUAGGAUAGUGGACGUACUCGCAG
rnacentral:rRNA from 1 species